rnacentral:rRNA from 1 species
UACGGGGGGGGCAAGCGUUGUUCGGAAUUACUGGGCGUAAAGGGCGCGUAGGCGGCUUAUCAAGUCUGUCGUGAAAGCCCCGGGCUCAACCUGGGAAUGGCGAUGGAUACUGGCUCGCUAGAGUGCGGUAGAGGAGAGUGGAAUUCCCGGUGUAGCAGUGAAAUGCGUAGAGAUCGGGAGGAACAUCAGUUGCGAAGGCGGCUCUCUGGACCAGCACUGACACUGAGGCACGAAAGCGUGGGGAGCAAACAGG